rnacentral:misc_RNA from 1 species
GCAAACUUGGUCAUUUAGAGGAAGUAAAAGUCGUAACAAGGUUUCCGUAGGUGAACCUGCGGAAGGAUCAUCAAUGAAUUUCCAAAUUCAUUUGGCUUUGAGUGUGUAGUCUUUCCGGUAAUUUUGCCGGAGUAGAUGGGUACUCAUUGCCUUAUCAACCAUCAGUCACUGUCGAGCAGCGAAGGUGUCUUGGGAUGCUUGUAGUUUUUUGCAGGCAUUAAAUAUGCAAGCCCUUUGCGAAUUUGACUUGGCUUUUUGAGUAGGUUUGGGGGGAUGGUUUACGCUAAGUUUAGGGAACUCUUCCCUAGCCCAUGCAAAACCUUUUAAAACCCUUCUUACUCAUUUAUUGUGGGCAUCAAAACAUAAUUAAAAUACAACUUUUAACGAUGGAUCUCUUGGCUCCCGCAUCGAUGAAGAACGCAGC